ensembl:lincRNA Rmst rhabdomyosarcoma 2 associated transcript (non-coding RNA)
GGUUAUCUCCUAACCUCAGAUGUUGGAUAAGUCCAUGGAAACAGCAGCGCUUCUGGAUGGCUUCAGAAAGGCUGGAGUGAUUGUUUGGACGAGAAAAACCCGCCUAUUCAUUCAAAGGUACAUGAAUGUUGUCGACACUGUCCCAUCUAAAGGUUCAUCCUUAGAAUCCUGCCUUAGACAAAAGAAGCGCUUGGAGUCCCACCACACCUAAAACCACGCUUUGAAGGAUCUGCCAAGCUCACUUUUAAUCAUGAGAAAGAAAUUACCCACAUGGAGACAGCAGAAAAUGAGAAAGUAGAGAUCGUGCUGCGAAUAAUUCCAGCGAGUGCCAAGGGGCUAGUUGAGGAAUGGCUUCAUGAGGUGAAUAUCUUUAGCUUGUACUUAGGGUUUGGUUAGCGUAUAAUCAU